rnacentral:rRNA from 1 species
AUUGAACGCCGGCGGCAGGCCUAACACAUGCAAGUCGAGCGGGGUUUUCGGACCUAGCGGCGGACGGGUGAGUAAUGCGUAGGAAGCUACCCGAUAGAGGGGGAUACCAGUUGGAAACGACUGUUAAUACCGCAUAAUGUCUACGGACCAAAGUGUGGGACCUUCGGGCCACAUGCUAUCGGAUGCGCCUACGUGGGAUUCGUUGGUUGGUGGGGUAAUGGCUCACCAAGGCGACGAGCCCGAGCUGGUUUGAGAGGAUGAUCAGCCACACUGGAAAUGAGACACGGUCCAGACUCCUACGGGGGGGAGCAGUGGGGAAUAUUGGACAAUGGGCGCAAGCCUGAUCCAGCCAUGCCGCGUGUGUGAAGAAGGCCUUCGGGUUGUAAAGCACUUUCAGUAGGGAGGAAGCGUUGUGUGUUAAUAGUACACAGCGUUGACGUUACCUACAGAAGAAGCACCGGCUAACUCUGUGCCAGCAGCCGCCGCCGUA